UGCAGCCCUGUCAAAUUCAGUCCCUGCCUCCUCCGUGGCGGGGACUGGAAAAAAACCACAGCGACUUCUGUAGUCCAUGGGCCCCGUGUCCCCUCCCGUGGGACCCCGGGGAUAAAAUCGUACCACAGACACUG
rnacentral:snoRNA from 1 species